CCCCUAGAUGUCCUGGGCCGCACGCGCAAUACAAUGUAAAGUUCAGAAAGCAUAUCCUGUUCCGGAAGGCAAUGGGUAAUCUUUUCAAUAUUUUACGUGUUAGGGAUCGAUCUUUGCAAUUAUAGAUCUUGAACGAGGAAUACCUAGUAAGUGCAGCUCACCAGGCUGUACUGAUUACGUCCCUGCCCUUUGUACACACCGCCCGUCGCUCCUACCGAUUUCGAGUGGUCCGGUGAAUCUUUUGGAAUUAGAGUGCAAACUCAAACUAAGAUCGAUAAACCUUAUCACUUAGAGGAAGGAGAAGUCGUAACA
rnacentral:rRNA from 1 species